AAAAUAUCAAUUUUUCGUAGAGUUGAAGAUAAUAUCAUUGAGCGAUUGAAAAUUGGAUUGUGUAUUUGCCUUAAGUUAUGAAUUUUGUUGCUGAUAAUAAUAAUGGUGGUCUUUAGUUGAUAAAUGUAGGUAAGAUUCGAGCGUUAUGUCUAGUUAUUUGGUCUUGAUGUUUUGAGAUGAAUGCGAUUGCUAUGAUUGCUCAGAAACAAAUUUCUUGGUAGAUUAAGAUCAUGUGUGGUUUAACGGAUGAAUUUCUGUUGCUUGUGGAGAUUUUUUUAGUAUUAGGUUGAAGUUUAUUGAUCUAAUCAGUUGUUCGAUUUAUAUAAUUAUAUACGCUCGGAUUUGGUAGCGGCCUUGAGCUGCUUCGGUUGCAUUCUUGUGUUGUGAUAUGAGCUGAAAAUCGAGCUGCUUUUGAGAUUAUUUGUACGGAGGUAGACUUAUAUUUUGAGUUGAAGAAACUUUAAUGAAUGAUAACAUUGAUCAAGAUAAUGCAUAAUUCUGAGAUCUAGAACACUUCCCAGUAACGAUCUACAACUUUUCUAUAUAUUUUCAGGAAAAAGAGCAAUGAUUAGUUGAAGUAAACUUGGUCUGACUAGAAAUCAUCUGUAUCUUCUACUAGCAGAAUGCAAUUUGUGCAUGUCACAACCUCUUUCAACAACUACCUGGCUUCUACAUCACUCAUUGUUAUUGUGCCACUGCUCGGCUUGUCAUUCCUCUUCAAGAAACUGGAUCUACUUUGCAAGAAGAAUCCAGGUUUCUUGGGCCGAGGCAACGCUGUAUCCUCACUGCUUAGCAUCAGAACCACAGACGGCAUCAUUGGCCUCUCGUCUGCUGCGUUUUGGACACAUAAUAAUCCAAUUUGGAUACACCUCUUUACUUGUGGUUCCGUGUAUGAACUUUUGUAGCUUGUAUCCAUCAUCUCCAGCUCUCUAUUUUCCUGCCAAAGUAGCCAUGCCUGCGACAAAUUUAGUAUGGACUUAACAAGGUUUUCAUAGGAAAAAGUUCCACUAUUUAUUAUUGCAAUUCAGCAUAUCUGAAUUGUUCAAUAACGAGCAACAGAAUAUAGUUUAGUUCACCUGUUCGAGAAGGUUCUGAUAGCAAGAAGGAUGCUUGAAGCCUGUGUUCUUUUUCCCACUCACUAUCUCCAAUAUUACUACUCCGAAGCUAAAUAUGUCUGACUUGACAGAGAACUUCCCAUCAAAUGCAUACUCCGGAGCCAUGUAGCCACUGUAAUGAGCUCUGAUGCAUUAUUCUCUAUGAGAAGAGUAUGUAUACAUAACUGCUUUGUGUGUGUGUGACACUUACUAUGUCCCAGCAACUCGUUUUGUUCUCGCUGUAGACUGAUCGCCUUCAAACAUUCUAGCUAGACCGAAAUCUGAGAUCUUCGCAUUCAGAUUCUCAUCUAAUAAGAUAUUGCUUGCUUUUAGGUCCCUGUGGAUGAUUUUCACUCUGGAAUCAUUAUGGAGGUAAACCAUACCCCUUGCAAUCCCCAUGAUAAUAUCGAAGCGCUUUGGCCAAGUCAAUAGUGGCCUUCUUUCUUGAUCUGCAUGUGUUGAAGAGUAUUACUAAGGUAAAAAUAAAACUGUAAUCUCUUGGAUAGAGUAGAAACUGUAGAAAGAUUUUCUCGAAAUUAUUAUCCAAACCAAAAAUGAAAUAGUCCAAGCUUUUGUUCUGCAUGUAUUCAUAGAUCAACAUCUUUUCCUCCCCUUCAAUGCAGCAUCCCAGGAUUUUGACCAGGUUCCUGUGCUGGAGUUUCGCGAUCAAAAUGAAUUCAUUUCUGAACUCUUCGGGGCCUUGUCCAGAACUCCUCGACAUUCUUUUCACCGCAAUUACUUGCUCUGCUGAUAGAAUUCCCUGCAGUGGCCAAAUCAAAAUCAAACUCAAACAGUAUAUAUUAUUGCUACUAUAAGUAAAUAUUGAUUUAUAAGCAUCACUUAACAUAAUGUUUUUACCUUGUAAACAGGACCAAAACCGCCUUCUCCAAUCAUAUUCUCUGUUGAGAAGUUAUUCGUGGCUGUUGCGAUGGUUCCCAAAUCAAAUAAAGGUAACUCUAAUCCACCCCUUACCUUCUUAGAAGCUGUGAAAGCAGUUAGUUAUACAUUUGUUCAAGUGUCUAUAAUAUUUGCUUGCAACAUAUAUCUUUACUGUGUAAACACAAUCAGUAAUUUGACCUUGUCUCCUGUGUCUUAUCUGUAGAAAAAAGCCUCCAAUAGCAAAGCCCAAUAUAAGCAUUCCAAACCCAGAAGCAGCAGCACCUAUAAGCUUCAACUCUCUCUUUGCUUGCCCUGUCCUCUUCCUAUUCGAAUCUGUCGCAUGUUCUAAGACGAAAUAUCAAGUAUUAGUAAUAAGGUUUGAUAAAAUACAAUCUCAGCUAAUCUCCUUAGCUCAUUAUAGAAUGCACUGAAGUAUUCAUCAUACCAAGUUCUGUAACAGGCACGCGAAUAUAAACAGUCGGUACUGCUCCAGAUUCUGUGCUCAGCUCCCUUAAGUCAAUCAAGUCCCCAAACCACAUCAAACAGUUUCUUUCAUAAUCUGAGUAAGGAUCAUCAGCAUAAGCCGUGCAGUUACAUUCGCUUAGGCAUUUUCUGCGACAUUCAACAGAGCUCAUAUUAGCAUUCAACUGAAAAUUCAGUGAAUCAGGGAACUUGAUUCCUUCCAUCUUCAGAAAGUCAUCUCCCUUUUGGCAAUCUAAUGGUGGAUCUCUAUAACAUCCAUUUCUCCACUCAUACAUCCUCCAUUCCUUUUCAGAUCUCGGCUUGAAUCCCCUUAGACACUCACAUACUGGCAUUUUGUUAAUCUUGCAGAUGCCAUAAUGACCACACCUGCCAUAACUGUUACACAAAUCGUCUGUAGAGGCUAUCAUGAGAUUCCAGUGGUCUUUUUGGUCGUUCAUGAUGUAUCCCUCGAGCACGCCUGAGUAGUUCAUUGUUACCCUUAUGAUUGCUGAAUCACUGAAAGGGUUGGAUACUGAAACCAAUCUGCCCCCUUGUGAUGAAAAUUCUGUUUUCCAGUCUUGAUUUGGUGAAUUCGGAAAUUCAGGGAAGUGGCCUCCCCAGAAGAUCGUCCUAUACACUCUUUGUGCCCCCUUGGUAAGCAUGAGUUGAGACAAUCCAUGGUUUUCAAUCCUGUAGCUGAAUUCUCCGACAGAUGGGUCGUCAACAGUUCUCCACGAUGUCAGAUAUUUAGCCUGAUCUCCAGUAUGAGUGUCUCCCACCACCAUCUUCAUUCCAG
rnacentral:lncRNA from 1 species